rnacentral:rRNA from 1 species
AGAACGAACGCUGGCGGCAGGCCUAACACAUGCAAGUCGAACGAGAAGCCACCUUCGGGUGGUGGACAGUGGCAGACGGGUGAGUAACGCGUGGGAACGUGCCUUUCGGUUCGGGAUAACCCAGGGAAACUUGGGCUAAUACCGGAUACGCCCUUCGGGGGAAAGAUUCAUUGCCGAAAGAUCGGCCCGCGUCGGAUUAGCUAGUUGGUGGGGUAAAAGCCUACCAAGGCGACGAUCCGUAGCUGGUCUGAGAGGAUGACCAGCCACACUGGGACUGAGACACGGCCCAGACUCCUACGGGAGGCAGCAGUGGGGAAUAUUGGACAAUGGGCGCAAGCCUGAUCCAGCCAUGCCGCGUGGGUGAAGAAGGCCUUAGGGUUGUAAACCCCUUUCAGCGGGGAAGAUAAUGACGGUACCCGCAGAAGAAGUCCCGGCUAACUCCGUGCCAGCAGCCGC